GACGAACGCUGGCGGCGUGCUUAACACAUGCAAGUCGAACGCUGAAGACCUGGCUUUUGUUGGGUUGGAUGAGUGGCGAACGGGUGAGUAACACGUGAGUAACCUGCCCUCUUCUUUGGGAUAACGCCCGGAAACGGGUGCUAAUACGGGAUAUUCACUGGCCUUCGCAUGGGGGUUGGUGGAAAGGUUUGUUCUGGUGGGGGAUGGGCUCGCGGCCUAUCAGCUUGUUGGUGGGGUGAUGGCCUACCAAGGCUUUGACGGGUAGCCGGCCUGAGAGGGUGACCGGUCACGUUGGGACUGAGAUACGGCCCGGACUCCUGCGGGGGGCAGCAGUGGGGAGUAAUGCACAAUGGGCGAAAGCCUGAUGCAGCGACGCCGCGUGAGGGAUGGAGGCCUUCGGGUUGUAAACCUCUUUCGCUCAUGGUCAAGCCGCAACUGUGGGUUGUGGUGAGGGUAGUGGGUAAAGAAGCGCCGGCUAACUACGUG
rnacentral:rRNA from 1 species